rnacentral:snoRNA from 1 species
AUCCCAGAUAAAACUCUCUUGUAUUUGUCUGAUUCAUGGGAGGCAAAAAUUGACAAUGGAAGUUUCGCUGAUAGCACCAUUUUGGUUUUUUGGAAGGUGUUCUAAUAGUAACUUUUCUUACUUGA